rnacentral:rRNA from 1 species
UGGGGAAUAUUGCACAAUGGGCGCAAGCCUGAUGCAGCGACGCCGCGUGAGGGAUGACGGCCUUCGGGUUGUAAACCUCUUUCAGUAGGGAAGAAGCGAAAGUGACGGUACCUGCAGAAGAAGCGCCGGCUAACUACGUGCCAGCAGCCGCGGUAAUACGUAGGGCGCAAGCGUUAUCCGGAAUUAUUGGGCGUAAAGAGCUCGUAGGCGGUUUGUCGCGUCUGCCGUGAAAGUCCGGGGCUCAACUCCGGAUCUGCGGUGGGUACGGGCAGACUAGAGUGAUGUAGGGGAGACUGGAAUUCCUGGUGUAGCGGUGAAAUGCGCAGAUAUCAGGAGGAACACCGAUGGCGAAGGCAGGUCUCUGGGCAUUAACUGACGCUGAGGAGCGAAAGCAUGGGGAGCGAACAGGAUUAGAUACCCC